CCCAGCUCUACCCCAUACCCAUUGAAUCAGAAAUAGGACUUCACUUGGUUUUGCAAGCUCCGCAGGUGAUCCACAUCCUCUUUAAACCUUGAAAUCCACCACCUGAAAGUUCCUCUAUCUCUGCUUGAAGAUUCCUCAACUUCCACAAAGAAAGAUUUAUUCUUUUUACCUGAGGAAGAUGGCGUUUAUAUUUCUAUGAAAGUGCAAAUACGAUGGCAUAUAUGCAAAAUACAUUAGGUUUAAAUGUGAUGAACCUGAUCAAGAAGAAAAAGGAAUCAUAACCAAUCAACCAAAACAAACAAAACCAAGACAUCAGGUAGAAAGAUCAAGGUGCAGAUUAGCUGGUAUACCAUGUGUCUUUUUUAAACCAUAAAAAGGAAUAGUUGUAUGAAUAUUCUGGAUAGCUGCUAGGAAGACCUUUCAUAAUAUGUAUCACACACACAUCAUUCUUCUAUUUAAAAAGAGUAAAAAUACAAACAUUACAGAGAGAAGUCAUUUUAAACCUCAUUAAUGUUAAAAGAUAAACCGAGGCACGUUGAAAUAUUAAAGAGUUUGUCUGAGCAAACGAUUCAUAAAUCAGGCAACAUCAGGCUUCAGGUGGCUCCGGGCUCCACCAACAGGACAAAAGGAGAAGGCUUUAAAGGGGUUAGUUGGCGGCUCCUGAGUUUUAAAGCUGAAGUUGCAUUUUCCUAGAAGACGACCGUUGAUACUGGGCUUUCAGUUUGCUUCUGUAGAAAACCGGGGCCCAGGAGCCAGCUCAGCCUAAUGGCCUUUCCGUUAAUGAUCUUAGUUACUUAUACCUAGAGUGAAUCAUUUUAUCAAAAAACUUUUCUGAACAGCUUUUUAUCUGAGGAAGAACAAGUAGAGUAAAUGCCAUGAGAGGAGAGGAGCAGAAAAGAAUCUCAGAGCCUCGAAGUCAACAUUUGCCAACUUUACAUUUUUGUCCAAGUUUAAAUGGUGCUAAAGAGGCCAACCUGCCAGCCAGCUGGCUUCCCAGAGGACCUUGGAGGCUGCCGGCGCUGGGGCUGCUGGAGACCUGCUCUGCUGAGCACGUGUGGGAACGUGAAUUGUCAUCGCUGUGAGAAGUGACUUCAUUCUAGGGGGCUUAUUUGUAUUAACCAAUCUCUUAAAACACUGGCUGGCUGAUAAAUUAAAAUGCCAAUUUAUUUGUUUACUAUUAGAAUUAUACUUGCCAAGCAAUAUAUCUGUGUCAGCCAUUCAGUUUGUUC
rnacentral:lncRNA from 13 species